rnacentral:rRNA from 1 species
ACCAGCAGCCAUAUCACACUGCAACUCACAACUGGCCACCCACUUAAGCUAAGUGGGUAUGAGCUUGGUCAGUACAUGGAUGAGAGACCUCCUGGGAAAAACUAAGAUUGUUGCUGGAA